rnacentral:tRNA from 6 species
GCGCGGGUGGCGGAAUUGGUAGACGCGCAGCGUUGAGGUCGCUGUGAGCUUUAUCGCUCGUGGGGGUUCAAGUCCCCCUCCGCGCA